UACGAAGGGGAGCUAGCGUUGCUCGGAAUCACUGGGCGUAAAGCGCACGUAGGCGGACUCUUAAGUCGGUGGUGAAAUCCUGGAGCUCAACUCCAGAACUGCCUUUCGAUACUGAAGAUCUUGAGUUCCGGGAGAGGUGAGUGGAACUGCGAGUGUAGAGGUGAAAUUCGUAGAUAUUCGCAAGAACACCAGUGGCGAAGGCGGCUCACUGGCCCGAUACUGACGCUGAGGCACGAAAGCGUGGGGAGCAAACAGG
rnacentral:rRNA from 1 species